CCGAGUUUACAACUCCCAAACCCCUGUGAAACAUACCUUUAUGUUGCCUCGGCGGAUCAGCCCGCGCCCCCGUAAAACGGGACGGCCCGCCGCAGGAAACCCUAAACUCUGUUUUUAGUGGAACUUCUGAGUAUAAAAAACAAAUAAAUC
rnacentral:misc_RNA from 1 species